GAAAUUACGCCUUCACGAAGUCGGAAUUGCUAGUAAUGGCAGGUCAGCAUACUGCCGUGAAUACGUUCCCGGGCCUUGUACACACCGCCCGUCACACCAUGAGAGUUAGGAAUACCCGAAGCCUGUGAGCUAACUUUAAUAGAGGCAGCAGUCGAAGGUAGAACUAAUGAUUGGGGUGAAGUCGUAACAAGGUAUC
rnacentral:rRNA from 1 species